ACACAAGUUGGCAGCAGCCCUUAUUCGUAGUUACUAAUCUAUCUAUAUGGCCAUAGUAGCUCAUGUUGUUCGGAUGGCUUGGUGAUGGGGGCUAGUUUUAUGGCUUCCCCAUUGGAGGGUGUCCUGGAUAGUGACCAUAAGGUGGCUCAUACACCGGUGGUUUCUUAGGAGGUUCAUAUACUGGUGGCUUCUUCGGAGGUUCGUAAACCGGUGGUUUGGGCUCUGGCUUCUCUUUCUUCGGAGGUUCAUAAACUGGUGGUUUUGGUGGCUUAGGUUCAUAUACUGGUGGUUUUGGUGGCUUAGGUUCAUACACUGGAGGCUUCUUUGGAGGCUCAUAUACUGGUGGUUUGGGUUCUGGCUUCUCUUUCUUUGGAGGUUCAUAAACUGGUGGCUUUGGUGGCUUAGGCUCAUAAACUGGUGGCUUUGGUGGCUUAGGUUCAUAUACUGGUGGUUUCUUUGGAGGCUCAUACACCGGAGGCUUCUUUGGAGGCUCAUAAACUGGUGGCUUUGGUGGCUUAGGUUCAUAAACUGGUGGCUUAGGUUCAUAUACUGGUGGCUUUGGUGGCUUAGGCUCAUAAACUGGUGGCUUUGGUGGCUUAGGUUCAUAAACUGGCGGUUUCUUUGGAGGCUCAUACACCGGAGGCUUCUUUGGAGGCUCAUAUACUGGUGGUUUGGGUUCUGGCUUUGGAGGCUUAGGUUCAUAUACUGGUGGUUUCUUUGGAGGCUCAUAAACUGGUGGCUUUGGUGGCUUAGGCUCAUAAACUGGUGGCUUUGGAGGCUUAGGUUCAUAAACUGGCGGUUUCUUUGGAGGCUCAUACACCGGUGGUUUCUUGGGAGGUUCAUAAACUGGUGGUUUGGGUUCUGGCUUUUCCUUCUUUGGAGGUUCGUAAACCGGUGGCUUGGGCUCCGGCUUCUCCUUCUUUGGGGGUUCAUAGACAGGGGGUUGGGGUUCUGGCUUCUUUGGAGGUUCGUAAACUGGUGGUGGUUUGUAAAUUGGGGGUGGCUUCACCUCGGGAGGUUUGUAAACAGGAGUAGGUGGUUUCCCAUAGCCGGGUAACUCGUAGGUACCAAGGGAGGGAGUGGCGAGAACCACCACUCCCAGGAGCAGUACUAGUAAGUGUGUAAGAGACAUCUUGGAGCUCUGGCUUUCGAUAGGGCAACUCGAAGCCCUCCUUUUAUAGUGGUAAAGGAGCCUUUUGGUUAGUCCAGGUGUCAAAAUUUCUCUCGUUUCAUACCUUACGAAAUAGUGAGCUAGCUAGAUUUGUAAAUAUUUGAGUAAUUCAUAAAUGUGAUAGGGUCCAUUUGGGUCCCACUUAGUCGAAAUUUUGGACUAUGAAUUACAAGGCCUUAUUCAUGAUUGAAGAAGAUUGGCAGUGUGGCUAUUAAAGAAGAUUGGCAGUGUGGUUCUUUUGGCGGUGACUAUUCCUUCUCUUUCCAUAAAGUAAUAGUUAGCGUCACUCUUUUCAUCUUUUUCAUUUAUGAAACAUGCUUUUUCUUUUCCUGCUAAAAGAAGCAAUAGAAUGGCACGAAAUUCUCCUUUAUAUCUGCUCAGCAACUCUUUCCUAACAAAUAUAAGAAGCUCAAGGCGUGAAAAUAUCUCAAGAGACUGAAAGUGAAGAGCGUUUCUAUAAACAAUGCCUCAGGAUAAAGUUGCAAAAAAAUUGCAGGACUGCACAUCUUCUAGUAUCACAAUAGGUGUUCAUCAAGGAAAACUUUUUACUCCAAUUGGUAUGAUAUUUACUGUUUUCAUGUCCUGUAAAGUCUUGGUUGCUACAAUAAAUAUAGUAGAAGUGUUUGAUGACAGCAAAUUUCCUUCUGGACUGCAAACAUUGUUACUAAUUUCAAAUGUAAUGCCACAGCUAUAAAAAAUAAAAAUAAAAUAAAAAAAGCGAAGCCCAGAUGAGAAGGUUGGUACCUUCCGCUUGCAUGUUCUAAGUUUUGCUUGAGGGAGAUUAUUUUGGCUAAAAUCUAACAACAUUGUUGCCAAAAGGCAACUUCAUUAUUGGUGGAAGCCUUUGCAGUCCUGUUGGGAAAUUUACACGAAUGCAGCACUCACCUCUUUGCUUGUUUCCAUAGUUAACAACAAGUGAGCUUAUUUGUCGGUAUUGACUUUUAUGAUGCAUACCCUUUUUCUCUUUCUAUAUUUUGUUUUCAGUUACCUAAUUCCUUAUAGUUGGCACUAGGUUUUUUUUAAAUUCAACGAGUUUUUGCAUCUAAUGGUCUUUUAUUGACUUUUAGAAGCAAUAUUUUAACCUUCCUGUUGAUUGUACCUUAGUUGAACUAAGUUCCAGAAAGACAGCUUUCUUUCACUAUCAGUGUAUGGAUAGCUUAGCAAUUUAGUCUUAUGGAUUCAUUAUUACCCUUGCACUAAAGCCGCAGGCAAAUUACUGAAAGACUAAUCAUAGAUCUUUUUCUGCUAAUUAAGGUAUUUGAGUGGUUCUAUUAUGGAGAGAAAUUAAUUUACUCUGUAAGUGAGGCUAUAUUGAAGAGAAUCUGAACUGUUUACAACUACUUUGUUCUCCAUAAGAAUUUUGGCUGCAACGUUUGACAAUUAUUGUUGUUAUUGCCUUUAUUCUCAUGACAGAGCGCUUUAGGCAGGACAAUCUGGUUCAUGAACACUGCUCAUAAUUAGAUUUUAAUUCCCAAUCCUAAAUUGCAUGUUAAUAGCAUUAUGAAGUAUGUCAUAAAUUUUGCACAAUACUUUAAACUCGGAAAGAGAGUAUUUGGACUUGGGAUCUCUUCCUGGAAGUACGGCCUGGUCACCAUGAAGCUUCCAGAAAUUUGUUUUCUACACGCAACACUGGAUUUGGUAUAACUAAUUGUGAGGAAAUAUGAGCUCUUAAAGCAGAUGAACAGUUCUGUGAAUCGGCUUAAUUAAUUUUCAUGAAUUCGGGCAGCCUAAGGCUUAUUCCAAACAAUUUAGAUGAAGAGUUCGACCAGAGUAAAGAAAUAUUUCAUUAUGUACCAUCUUGUCCUGUAAUUAGGUGAUUAUCAUAUGAAUUAUAAAUUUAUAAUCACUUUCCUGAGUCGAAAUUCAGCAGAUUUCUUUUGUAGUUUCCCCCCACUCAUCUACAGGUUAUUUUAUCAAAAAACCUGCUGGUUUUUUUUUAAAUUAAAAAAACCUGCAGGUUCUGUGCUGCUAUGUGCUGGCAGAAGAAAAAGCUUAAUGGCGAUAGAACAACAGUCAGUGAGAAAGACUGGCAUUUUGCAAAACCGACAUGCUGCAUAAUAGGCCUAGCUUACCUACCGUCCUUUUGAUAAAAUUGUACUCGUUAUAAAAUUAGAUGAACUUUCAAUUCGUAGCUUAUCCAAUUAGUACGUAACACAAUGUUUGAAAUACAUGAUUGAUCAUGAAUGCCAAUAUUAUUGCUUUUUGAUUUUUGCAACUCUGGCAAUGGAUCUUUCCACCAACCAAUCUCCAUGCACGAAAACGCAACAAAAAUCUUGAACUUAGUGGUUCAGUUGAAGUCAAAAAGCCAAAAGAAAGGGAUGAGAGGGGGGAUUGAAACAAAGAAAGCGAAAAGAGAAACAGACCAUGACUGGAGAGGAAAUAUGAAUAUAGGUGGGAAUAAAUAAGUAUUCAUGGAAAUCAACUGCAUGCAGUAACAAAGUGGCUUGUGAGGCUCUUCAGCUUUCUCCAUUAUUGGAGGGUGUCCAGGGUAGUUUCCAUAGGGUGGAGAUGGUUUGGGCGAGGGUAGAGUUCUUGGCUUAUGCUCAGGAGCCGGGGUAUGAGGUUUGGGCAUUGUGGCUGGCUUUUCAACGGCUUGUCCACCUGUGGUGCUGGUCCUUUUUUUGGAGGUAGAGUUGGUGCAAUGGGUGGUUUUGGUCCUAACUCUAGGAGGUAGAUCGAGUUAGUGGAUUGUGCUCAGGAUUUAGCUUUUCUGCUUUAGGAGGCUUUCGAACUCGGGUUCCUGCCUCGUGCUUGGCACUGGCUUCUUAGUUGGGGGAUCCAGGUGGCCUGGAAUGGGUGGUUUGCGCUCAUAUUGAGGUGGCUUUGCGUAAUCAGCUAAACAGGGUGCGCUAAGACUAAAAACCACUGAACCGAUAAACAACAUAAACAAGUAUACAUAGGAGACAUCUUUGUGCUUUGAUGGUAUAAAGAUAAUGGUUCAGAACUUGAAGGAACAUACCAUUUUGUAAUGCUUACCAGCCCUGGAAAGUUGUAUACAUGUUCAAAUUUCGUUCAGUUCGUGUCAUGCACAGAUUACAAAAUAAGUUAAACUAUAUAAUUUGCAGAGCUUAAUUAAGGCGAUAAAAUGGUUCAUUUGUUUCCCAUAGAGAUGAACAUUUAGACAGUUGGGAAAAUCCUGUUCCUAAGAAGGAUGAGGGAGGAAAAGUUCCAACCUCCAGGUUAAAAUCCAUUUUAGUUUCUCUCUCACGAUCUACCGACUUUUGCCCUUUCUUCAUCUGUUUCAACGUUGAUCCAGAUCUCUAGGUGAGCAUUUUGUCAAAGCAGCCAUCAUGGAAAAUGUCAACAGCGCUUGGACAGUAGCAAGGCAUUAUUUUGGCCAAUAAGAACAAAAAAGGUUGGUGCUACAAUUAAGGUAAUUACCGAAGAACUUUUGCUCCUAUUAUUUUUCUUCCGUUUUGUUCGAAUUUCUGUAUGAUUCACUCACUUCAGUCGUUUUCAAGACUGUGAUUUCUUGUAAUUCUAGAUUUUCUUCCAUGGCGUAAUAUUUGACAGUCCGCAUCCGCGUUUCUUGAUUUCCCAUAUAGAUUGCGACAUUGAUGGCCACUUGUCAGUCAUAGGUCGUUGGUACAGUUUCAUCGUGUCAGUCCGUGCCUAUCAUUUCAAUCUAAACAUGCAAAUAAACCCAAAAAAUGAAGAAUAAAAAAAAUAUAACAUAGUUUAUCAGAUAACUUUGGACUUUUAGUAUUGUCAAAGACUUUCGUUACUUGUUGGGAUGAAUUCUGGGUACAAAGUUGUCAAUAUUGGAGGUGUAAACAAGAACUCUCAUUUCCAGACUCAAGGGCUACCUGGAGUAUGUUUCCAGUAACAAACGUGUAGGAGCUUUAAUUUGACAUUGUAGAUGGUGCAAAAUGUGCAGAGAGAACAGAAUCCCAUAGUCUGUAGGUGGAGAUUGAUUGAGAGAGAUACAAAAAUUCUGUAUUUACAAGUCAUAUUUGCUCAUUGACAAAAGAAAAUAAAAUAUUGAACGUGGACUAUUCCCAUAGAAAAGAACCCAUAACUACUCAUCUCUCUUGCCAUAGUCUCUCUCUGUGGUAUGACUCCAUCAAGAUCCAUGAAUUAGUGAUAUCCUUACUUCAUCCUUUAAUUGUGAGGCCAAAAAUAAGACACAUACAACAGGAACCAACACACUGGAGGUGCAGCUGUGUAGUCUACAUGUUCCAGAACCCAGAAGUUUCCUGUCCUGAAAAAUAAGCCAUUUUUUUUUUGUAUCCUUUGACUAAUGUAUGUAAAUAAAAGAAAAUAUAGAUUUGAUAUGUCAGUGCUCUGCAUAUGUAGUUAUCUUCUCGAUCGGAUUUGCUCCUUAUUUUCAAUGGACAAAUGCUGGUAGGUUUUCUGGGUCUAAACUGAAGACUUUAUUCUCCAGACAGGGCAGGUGAAAUUGAAGAAUUAUGUGAGGAAUAUUCUUACUACGAACCGUGGUUUUUCUCCAGGAUUCUACGACCAAGGAAAACAAAUCGUGGUGCCAUAUGUCUCCAUGCAUGUUAUUAUGGGCACAUCAUCUUUCUUAAUUUCUGAUACGACUUACUCACACAUCCAAUGGAGAUGGUUGCCAAAAAUUUGUUUACUCCUAACUGGCUUAUCCUUUUUUACUUUCUUUAUAUUUUUCCCCUAAUAAGUGGUCCAACAACUCCUUAAAUUAUUAUAUCUUCACUUUUUCAUCCAUUCCACCAACUACAUAUAUUUUAAUGUUUUUGUUAUUUAAUUUCUGAUCUUGAAAAAUGACAAAAUUGUUUAAGUUAUUGAUUUAGCCAGCCAUUUAUUGUUUUCUUUAUUGGUGGCCGCAGCCUAUUGGUGUCCACCGACUGCCCCUGGCCAUGCUAGGCCAGGCUCUGGGCCCUUAAGCCCUGCUGGUUAUAAAUAAUUCUAACUUGAACAAACAAUAUUAAGCCUAGGCCCAACUUGAUGAUUAUUUUAUUACGAAAAUAGAUUUUUUUUUUUAUAAUUAAGAGACGAGUAUUUGAAUCUUAUUUUUUAGAGACAGAGAAUAUAUAUUAAUUAAUAAAUUAUAUAUUCUAGUAUUUAUUAUGAAGAUAAUUUUUUUUUUAGUUAGUGGGGUGCGCCAGCCCUGAGCUAUAGUGCAACGCUAGGGCAAUGCGCGAGAGAACCAAUAGCAAGCUACUAUGGUGGACUCUCUCCCUAAAAAAAUUAAUUUAACAUCAUGUGGACUAAUGGCCCAUGAAGAUAGUUAUUUUUGAAAAACAUAAAAAUUUGAUAUGUGAAAUUGAAUUUGUUGGAUCAGAAUUGAAAACCCGAAUAAUUCCGAGUACAAGUUAUUUCGGAUUCAGAUGAUUCGAGUAUGAUAUUCAGAUAUUUUUAUUUAAAUUAUUAACUUUUAAAAUUAUGUUAUAUUUUAUUAAUAGUAAUUAAAUUGUUUAUUAUCACAUUUUUGUUAACUUGUAUCAUACCUUCAACUUUGAUUUUUGAUAUCAUAAAAAAAUUCAAAAUUUUUUUGACUCAUAUAAAAAGGAAAGAAACAAGUGAAAUGAAAGUUAUUAAUUAAUAUAAAAAACAAUAGUUAACUUCUAAAAAAAUUAUAAAUUGUUUUUUAUUGAAUGAUGUUAAUUUUCACUUUCAUUACACAGAUUAUUAUUAGUAAUUCACCGUAAUUAUGGUUCGACUUACAAUUUAAAAUGUCAGUCAUAACUUAUAAAAUAAGGUAUAAUUCUCUCUUUAGUUCCUUUAAAGUUAACGUUUAUUACCUCAAAAUUUAAAAAAUGAAAAAAUAUUUUACGUAAUAAUUAAUGAACGUCAACAACACAAAUUGGUUCAAUUCAAAAUUCAAAACCAGAAAUAGCUUAAACCUAAAAUAACUCGACUCAAAAUUAAUUAAUGAAUAGUUAAAAUACAAUUUCUUUUUAUUUACAGUAUUUAACAUGCAUGCGGAGUUUAGCAUUUUGUGCGGGCCUAAUCCAACUCUUGGAAUUUAAGUGCGUGCAGCCCAUUGUCACAAAAGCACAAAGAACAAACAAGGCAGAGAGUACUUCAUAAAAUAAAAAAGAACAAAAAAAAAAAAAAAAACAAAGAAUUGAAGAUGGGUUAUCAGGAUCAAACUUAUAUGCACAACAAUUCCUUCUCAGCAUCAGGCUUUUCUGUCAGCUUUGGAUCUUAUUUCAUUAUAUGUUGUGAAUUUUGUCUUUACCUUCCCAAAAACUAUUGAUGCUCUGUAGUGAUUCUGGUUCCUUGUAGUAGGGUCUCCCCUGCUUUUUUUUUACAUGAAUAAAUUGUAUUUAUCUGAAAAAACAAAAGAGGGGUUACAGUUUCAGCCAUUGAGGCUUGCUGGGCUGCAAAGAAGCUAUAGAGAGAGAGAGAGUCGAUCAUCAUAUCAAAAAUGUUUAAUACUACAACUAUAGAAGAAAUUAAGACUGUAUAUUACACUAAGUGAAAGCAUAUAUAUAUAUAUAUAGUGACAGUCGUAAAGUACAAAGUUUUCAAACUGCAUGUCCAUGCUCAUUUCCUACGUAGGAAGCUAGUACAUGCACUACAAGCUAAAGGAGUGAACUACGUAAACAUUAAAAACCAACUAUAGCGGGAGUUAUGGACUCAAACCAUUGAACAUAGCUGCUCUUAUUUCUAUGACACUCUCCCAUUCCAUAUAUACUAAACACAACUAGCUACUAGCUGGUAACGCCUAGUUAGCUUGUCGUGGCGGCUUGUGGGGUGGUUCAUCAUGUGGAGGCUCAACGGGCGGUUGGUCAGGAGGCUGGUGGGGUGGUUCAUCAUGUGGAGGCUCAACGGGCGGUUGGUCAGGAGGCUGGUGGGGUGGUUCAUCAUGUGGAGGCCCAACGGGCGGUUGGUCAGGCGGCUGGUGGGGUGGUUCAUCAUGUGGAGGCCCAACGGGCGGUUGGUCAGGCGGCUGGUGGGGUGGUUCAUCAUGUGGAGGCUCAACGGGCGGUUGGUCAGGAGGCUGGUGGGGUGGUUCAUCAUGUGGAGGCCCAACGGGCGGUUGGUCAGGCGGCUGGUGGGGUGGUUCAUCAUGUGGAGGCCCAACGGGCGGUUGGUCAGGCGGCUGGUGGGGUGGUUCAUCAUGUGGAGGCCCAACGGGCGGUUGGUCAGGCGGCCCAAGUGGAGGCUCAUGAGGUGGCUCGUGUGGAGGCACUGGUGGACGCAACUUGCGUGGUGGCUGGAGCACUUCUUUGUUCUCAAGUACUUGCUCUGCCAGAAGGUGUCCCGCGGGGUGAUGACCAUCAUGUGGUGGCUUCUUUCCCUUGCCCUUUGGUGGUUUGUCAAAUGGUUUGCAGGGUGAGCUGUGUAAUUCCUCAACGCAGCCGUCUUCCGAGAGGUGUCGUUGGGGUACUGGCUUAUUAUCACCUGGGCGUAUCGGUGGCUCCUCUUUCUUAGGUGGCAGUGGUUUAUCACCAGGGAUAAACUUUGGUGGUACAUAACCAGGGAGAAUUGGUGGUUUGCGCUCUGGAAAGCGCUCGUCUUCCUCGGGAGGCCCAUUAUAAGCUAGAGAUGGGGAUGGAGUGGUGAGAAGAGCCAUCACUCCAAGUAAAAACAGAAGCAAGUAAGCUUUAGACAUUGUGAUUGGAAAAUCUGUAGCUUGUUUUUGUGGUGAAGAACAUGAACAACUAGCGGCCAUUUAUACUGGAUGGAAUCAUAGCUUUAUCGUCACCACUCAUGUCAUUGAGCAUUUGGCAAGCUAGCUUAGUUUGUAGCUUUAGAUAACUGUUUAAUUAAUUAAAUUACAGAUUUUCAGUUCACAGUUCACAUAGUGCUCAAAAGAAGAGAAGCUCACAAAUUUUAGGUGGUCCAUUUUGGGGUCCCAUCAAAGCUAUUUUCUUGUUUUUCAUUGAGAGAAAACUGAAAACCAAAUUCCUGUCACAUUUAGUCCAUUAAAAUUUAAUUUAUUUUCCUUACUAUAAGCCUGCACCCAAGUGACUCGAUUGACUUCCGUCUAUUUUUAUAAGUUCUGCCUAGGGCUUCUGUUUCUGUGUGUUGGCACGUUGAUUCUGUUCAUAUUUAGCCUUUAAUUUCACUGGAGUGCAAUUCUACUCGAAAUGGUGAAUUAACUUAUCAAACCCCUUUAAAUCACAAUAAAGAGGUGUAGAAUAGGAUAUUGCACCACAGAUUCCAACGUAUAUUCGAUUUUGAUUUUCCUUUUUUUUUAUUUUUGCAUGAAGUAGUCAAAAUUAAAUAGUACUUCAAAAUCAAGUUGAAGAGUUAUUUAAUAAUGUUGCAUAAAUUGUCUAAUGGCAUAUGUUAAAAUUUAGAGUGUUUUUUAUGAUAUCAUUAUAGUGCAAAAUCGAGUCAUAGCUAUGUUUACCUCGACAAUUUGCACAUUAUCACUUAAGAUCACCCACUAACUGAGAUAUUUUCUUAUCUCUUACUUCAAUUCGUUGGAUUCAAUUUCAUGAGAAAAUCACAUUUUUUUAAACGAAAUAAUUAUUGUAUUUUAUUAGAAUCGCUCUAGCAAUGAACACAAAAAUUCAUACACUAUUUUUCAAUUUUUUUUCUAGCCAUACUAUAGCAUUAAAGCUUUAAUUAGAAUAUAUAAUCACUUGGGUCAUUAUAGAUUUUUGUCUUUGGAAUUUUAGCAUCUUUAGGAACAAUUCAACAAGUAAAAAGAAAUUACCUUUUUUUUUGCUGUUUUUUUCAACUAGUUCAGACUUACAACAUGCAUAAUGUUGCUGGGUUUUUUUUUUUUUUUGGUCUUUUUCAUUUCAAUUUACAGCUACUUGACUUUCUCUCUGUUGGAAAGAAACAAAGACAAAACGCCAAAAAAGAAAAAAAAAAAAAAACAGAAGAAAGGAAGGUGGGAAAGUUCUCCUGAGAAUCUGAGGUACUCAAGUCAACUUCAAGGCGUUUGGGGCCAACCAAUGACUCAGAGUCACCGGCCCAGACGUUCGCUAGCGAUCGCUUUUGUCUUGACUCAGAGUCACCGUCCACGUCUCUUAGAACUAUAGUUGAGUUUUUCUUCUAUUUCUACGUACUUCCUCAAAAUUCAACAGGGAAUCGAGGAACGAGCUAGCCAAUGAAUCACUUAUUUUUCUUUGAUUUCAUACUUUAUAUAUAAAAAUGAAACAGUGUAAAUUUGGAAAUGGGUAAGAAAGCAAUAAAUUGAUUAAUUUGAUUAUAUAUGAAACAACAUCAGUUUAAUUUUGGAUUAUUAUAUUUCUAAUUCCCAUCAUUCCCUGGCAGUCAAAGUUGAGAAAAUUUCAUCAGUUCGAUAGGAGCAUUCAGAAGGCAACGAGUGAAAGCUUUGUUUUUUGUCAACCAAAAAUCCAAAAUCUGAAAGCGGCGAAAGCACAGUGGGUGAAACACUGAAAAUUAAAUCAGAAUAUCCCAAAAUAGUGAAUAAAGUAGAAAAUCCAUAUCAUACAAACAACAGAUAAACCAUAGAUGACGCAGGAGUUUCUGUAACAACAAAGUACAAUCUGCAUAACUCCAUAGAUAUGGCCUCCCAAGUCAUGAAUAAAUAAAGCAUAGGACUUGGCCAACGUGGAUGUACAUGUAACUAGCUAGAGACUACUAAUGAAAGACAACUCAGCAUCAGCUCUUAUUUGUGCGAUAAACUAGCGGUAUCAGGCUGAUGAUCUUCUAAUUUUAGGUACUAAUUAAUUUAGUUGCCGUGUGGAGGCUUGUGGGGUGGUUUAUAGGGUGGCACUUUUGGCUUCAACUUAUUGAUCGGUGUCUUGCGCGAGGCCUCAGUUCCCUGUCCUGGGUGACGUUUGUGGGGUGGUUUGUGCUCAAGUGGAGGCGUCUCCCCCUUACCCUUGGGUGGUUUUCCACCGGAAAAUAUUGGUGGCUUGUGCGAGUCCUCAACAUCCUCACCUAGGAGGCGUCUGUGAGGAGGUUUGUGGUCAUGGGGUGGCUCCUUUCCCUCACCCUUAGGCGGUUUGUCACCUGGGAAUGGCUUCUUGGGUUCUUUACCAUUUGGCAAUUCAUGUCCAUGUGGAGGCUUCUCUCCCGUGCCCUUGGGUGGUUUACCACCGGAAAAUCUUGGUGGCUCGCGGGAGUCCUCAACAUCCUCACCUAGGAGGCGUCUGUGGGGAGGUUUGUGGUCAUGGGGUGGCUCCUUUCCCUCACCCUUAGGCGGUUUGUCACCUGGGAAUGGCUUCUUGGGUUCUUUACCAUUUGGCAAUUCAUGUCCUUGUGGAGGCUUCUCUCCCUUACCCUUGGGUGGUUUACCGCCUGUGGUUUUUGGAGGUUUGUGUGUGUCCUCAACAUCCUCACUCAGGAGGUGUCUGUGAGGAGGUUUUUCCCCAUGUACUGGUGGCUCCUUUCCCUUACCUUUCUCACCAGGAUGUGUUGGUGGCUUUUGACCAGGGAAAGGCUUGCCUCCCUUACCCUUGUAAGGCUCAUUAUCAUGGUGUUGAUUAGCUAGAGAAGGAGUGGUGAUCAUAAGAACCACCACUCCAAGGAGAAACACAAGCAAGAAAGCUUUAGACAUCUUAAUUUGGGAUCUUUGGGUUAUGCUGUGGUUCAAAACUGGAUCACUUGGUGCCCUUUUAUAAUGGAUGGAAGGGCUGGAGCUAUGUUGUCAACACAUACACACGCAAUUCUGCAUUUGUCCUCUACUUCUGUACUAGAUUCUUGAUUUCAUAGUGCACUAGAUACACCUCAAAGCAAGUGAUGCUUUUCCAAGGAUAGUAUGCAAAUGCAAAUGGGUCCGAUUUCGGGUCCCAUGUCCGGUUGAAAUGUUUGACAAUUUUACUAGUGCGCCCCAUUCACAUUUACUUUUGGUAGGAAAGUUAACAACCAGCCUAGUUUAGAAAGAGAUUCGGUAACAGGAGGUUGAUCUUCACAUUGAUGCAUCAAGGUCCUUGGCAAGAAUUGAGACAAACAUAGAUUUAAGAUUCAAUGUGCAAUAUUGAGUAAGGGCAUGCCCCAGUCAUCAAUUCUGAUGGAAUCAAUACAAUAUCGAGUUGUGAGACGACUAAAAACGCCACAGUUUUUAGUUAACUAAGUUCAAAAUCAACUAGCUAUGGUUGCUUGAAAAAAGAAGAAAGCGAGAAAGGUAAAAAUAUUCUUCACAUUUUUCAAUUGCAACCAUUAAAAGCUUUUAGACAGGAGUGUGGGCUUUUUCUGGAGAUAUUGUUGACAAAACGGUGUGAACUCUGGAAACUUUGGAAAAGUUACAAACUUUUGUCAUAAAAUAAUAUUAUAGAGAUUUAAGUCAAGUAACUUUAUCAAGUCAUCUAGUACAAAUUAGUUAAUAGUAGUGUCCACUAAGUCUCGGCUCGACGGAAAGAAAGACUACAAGAAAGAGAAAAGAAAAGAACAUAAUCUCGAUUUGGGGUAGUUCUUUUGAGAGCGUUUCCACAAGCUUAAUUUGUCGUUUUGCCAUAUGAUCAGUAUUAUCAUAUAAAAAUUGCAUAUUUCUUUUGGUGCAGAAGUUGGGUACUCGAGAUUCAUGUUUUUACACGUUCCUUUCUACCGACAUGUAUGCCGAUCAUUAGUAUUGGCUCUCCUCUCCCAUAGUAACAAUUGCAUCAAUAUUAAAAAAUAAAUACUAAGAGAAAUUUUUUAAUAUAUAUAUGGAUGGGCAUAGCCCUGUUGGAUGAGAUGACACUAACAGGUAAUUAAAAGUAGAUUACGCACCCACAGGGCCACAACAUGCAGAAAGUAACCUACUAAGCAUAACUUUUCUUUAUAUGAUCAUAUUCAACCGUUCAUAUAACUUUUCCACGACAUACCAUUUUUGGUCAAAAUAUUUAGUAUUUACUCUUUAACCUCACAUUUUUAAUGGCACGAUUCGUUGGAUGCAUGAUUUGAGAAAAAUGGGCAGAAAAAGACAGUUCGAAAUAAAGGAAUUUCGUUAACCAUUGGCUUUGGCUACAAGCCAAGAAAGGUUGCCAACUUUUGUAAUACUAGUAGCACUAGAAAGGCUGCGAGCCAAGCAUGGGAUUGCAUACUGAUUACUGAGACAGAAAUCAAAGAGAAGAUAGCGCAUGCUCUUGUCUUAUUUUGUUAUUUCUACUCUCUCUCUAUAUAACAUAAAUAAAUAGAAGGAAGCCCCAAAGGGGCUUCCAAGUUUAGCCAUGUCGUGGCUCUUUUUGGAUGACAUCUGUUCAGAAUAUAUUUAAUAUUAUUUGAUUUAUUUAUUUUUUUUAAGUUAAUGAAUUCCAUUCAUAGUAAAACAGGGAUAAGUUCCCUGGAUACAAAAACAAAGCACAUGAUUUUAAGAUGCUACGCCUUGAUCGUCAUCUCGUUUCAAAAUUAUCUUGACAACCUGCCCAGGAGAAGCCAUCAAAAAAUAAAUCACAAAAAACAAACAUCCCUAUCAUCAAUUUACAAACAAAUGAAUAUUCAAAACCAGCAUAAAGCCACAAAGUCAUACCAAAAUCCCCCUGCUCAGUAAUUCAUUCCAGAUCAAUAAAAAACAUGUUGCAAUCUAAUCCAAAAUUCUAAACUCCAGAGCACAUGUCUUUACAAGUAACCACAACAUCUCAUUCAAAAGACUCCAUAUCAUCUCCGUAUUAUUUGAUUUGUUGAGGAUGCAUGUAUGGUAUUUUCUUUUUAUGCUCACUAAAACCAACUAAUGUUCUGGCUUUGGUCCAAUUGAGUCUUACUCCAGAAAACAUUAAUAGGCAAAGAAGCAAAGUAAAAACCACUUCAAAAAAAAAAAAAACAGAGUGACAUAGAGUGAAGGAAACUUGCACUUCGAAUGGAAAGUUGGCUAGGUUCUUUAGAAAGAGAGGAAAUUGGCGGUAAAAGGAAGGGAAAGAG
rnacentral:lncRNA from 1 species